GCGGCUGUUCUUGUUCUUCCUGGAGCUUCCCUGAAGAACCAAGCAUGUGUGUGUAUUUUCCAGCACAAAUGGGCUCAUCCUAGAAGGAUGCUUGGAAGGUCUGACAAGCACUCUCCACUCCAUGGGUGACACCAGAAGAAACAGAAGCAGGUGUGCCGGCCUUAGGUCAGAGGCGCCUUCUCAUCCCCACCUGACAACACUUCUCCACUCUGGCUCCACGAGACCCGAAGGUUUGAACGACAGCGUCUGAGUCAGGCAGGCAGCUCGUCACAGGACGCCCGCUUUCCGUGAAAGCAGCAGCUGGGCCACGAAGUCAACUGAAGCGCUGUCCGCAUUCUGGAUUCGGUGCCAGAGUUCCUUAGUGUCCCCGCAGUUUCCUUGCUGGUGGAGUCAGGAGGAGAGUCUUGGGGAAUUCUCCUGGAUAGAGGCAUGCUGCUGGCUUCAAGGGGCUUGGCGGAUGUCAGGAGCCCUGGGGUGAGUUCUGGAACUGCUUGCCUGACACUGGGUGGGUCAGUUAUCCCACAGAGUUUCUGUUUCCUCCUUAAGAAGUUGCUGGCAGGUAGCAUCUAUGGAUGCAGAAAUUGCACAGAAAUUGUUCUACAUAAUGAAGAGCAAAUAAAGCGAGGUGAUUUGGGCUGUAUCAUUCUGUAAAUAAGUUUCAUGACCCCCGUCGCAGGCGAUGGUAUUUACUGCACGAGGAGUGCGCAGAAGGCUGCAGUGAAAGACUCAGAUCUCACAGCAGGUUCAGGUUCCACCAAUAACGUGUCUAACAGUUUGCCCAGGUAGGAAGGUGAGUGGAGAGAAACAUGACAUAUUUAUGAAAGCCUCGGGCCAGUGUCACUGUGACAAGAGCGGGGGAUCCUGGAGCUCUGCAGCAGACGGGGCAGUUCCAGGUCUGGGGAGAGCUCAGGGCUCCCGCAGGAGAGUAGAGUGCAUUCCGCAGGAUGGUGUGGGCAGGGCUGGCUCUGGGGGUGGCCGUGUGUCCCCCAUGUGACAGUUGUGACGGGUCAGGGCUGUGAGCAGGUUCCUGGCUGAGGACAGGGGAGGCCCAGGUGGGGAGCUGGUGGGCGCCUUCAUCUGUGCCACCAGCCUCAGCAACAUGCACGAGCUCUCCAUCUGUCCCUGUCCCUCCAGUUCCCGACUGUUCUGCGUCGCCAGGCCAAGACGUUGGUUCAGGCUUCUUUCUUUGAGUGUGUGUGUGUAGUUUCACAACCUCGAUGAUGAAAUGUUGGGUUGUCAGAAGGUCUGUUCUCUUGUAUUUCCUGCUCUCCUCUAAUAAGUCACCGCUGUGAAUCGUACGGGGCAGUGGAAGGGGCGAUCUGUGCAUUUUUAUUUCCUGUUGUAGUUAAACAAUGGGAAACAAAUCUUCUGAAAUAUUAAAAG